UACGUAGGGGGCAAGCGUUGUCCGGAAUCAUUGGGCGUAAAGCGCGUGUAGGCGGCUCGAUAAGUCUGCUGUGAAAGUCCAAGGCUCAACCUUGGGAUGCCGGUGGAUACUGUCGAGCUCGAGUCCGGAAGAGGAGUGUGGAAUUCCUGGUGUAGCGGUGAAAUGCGCAGAUAUCAGGAGGAACACCAAUGGCGAAGGCAGCACUCUGGGACGUGACUGACGCUGAGACGCGAAAGCGUGGGAGCAAACAGG
rnacentral:rRNA from 1 species